rnacentral:rRNA from 1 species
UACGUAGGGUGCAAGCGUUAAUCGGAAUUACUGGGCGUAAAGCGUGCGCAGGCGGUUUGGAAAGACAGAUGUGAAAUCCCAGAGCUUAACUUUGGAACUGCAUUUUUAACUGCCAAGCUAGAGUAUGUCAGAGGGGGGUAGAAUUCCACGUGUAGCAGUGAAAUGCGUAGAGAUGUGGAGGAAUACCGAUGGCGAAGGCAGCCCCCUGGGAUAAUACUGACGCUCAUGCACGAAAGCGUGGGGAGCAAACAGG